CAGAGGGCAGGGUGCUGGCUAACGGCCAGUCGAGGCGACUCGCAGGAAAGUGCCACAGAAAACAGACCGCCCGUUCCCGCGAGGGGGCGGGUAAGGGUGAAACGGUGCGGUAAGAGCGCACCGCGUCCGGGGUGACUCGGACGGCACGGUAAACCCCACCUGGAGCAAGAGCCAAUAGGAGCGCGUCCCCGAAAGGGGACAGGGAUGGCCCGUCCCAUGCGUUCGGGUUGCUCGCUGAUGAGGCCCCUGGGCAACCAGGGCCCUAGAUGAAUGUUCGCCGCCCAUCCCGAAAGGGGUGGGG
rnacentral:misc_RNA from 1 species